CCUACGGGUGGCAGCAGUGGGGAAUAUUGCUCAAUGGGGGAAACCCUGAAGCAGCAACGCCGCGUGAAGGAUGAAGGUUUUAGGAUUUUAAACUCCUUUUGGUAGGGAAGAUAAUGACGGUAUCUGACGUAUAAGCACCGGCUAACUACGUGCCAGCAGCCGCGGUAAUACGGAGGGUGCAAGCGUUAGUCGGAAUCACUGGGUGUAAAGAGCGCGUAGGCGGUAUAGCAAGUCAGAAGUGAAAACCUAUGGCUUAACCCUAGAACUGCAUUUGAAACUGUUAUGCUAGAGUUUGGGAGAGGUAUGUGGAAUUCGUGGUGUAGGGGUGAAAUGCGUAGAGAUCAAGAGGAACACUGAUUGCGAAGGCGGCAUACGGGAACGUAACUGACGCUGAUGCGCGAAAGCGUGGGGAGCAAACAGGAUUAGAUACCCUUGUAGUC
rnacentral:rRNA from 1 species